rnacentral:misc_RNA from 1 species
AAGUCGUAACAAGGUUUCCGUAGGUGAACCUGCGGAAGGAUCAUUAACACGUAUCCACGUAUCAACCAACGCGAAUUCGUUUUCAAUUUCUCCCUACACACUGUGUAGGCGUCAUUUUUACACCUUUUUAACCAAAUUUUUGCUAGUUGACUUUUUCUGCGUACAUUCGGCCGUUUGGUCGUCUGUCGACGUUUUCUUAAACGAAAAGUAAUACAACUCUUAGCAAUGGAUAUCUUGGUUCUC